ensembl:snRNA U6 U6 spliceosomal RNA
GUGCUUUCUUCAGCAGCACAUAUACUAAAAUUGGAAAGACACAGAGAAGAUUUGUAUGACUAAUCGGUGCAAAGAUGGCAUGCAAAUGCAAAAUGUUCAUUAAAAAGGA